rnacentral:lncRNA from 1 species
ACAAUGGACUUGUACCAGUCUAUGGACUGUUAGGAACCCGGCUGCACAGCAGGAGAAAGGAGAUGUGUGUAUGAGUUCUGCAGAAGUCCACCAAAUGUGGGCCAGGGUUAUUUCCCUGGUGAUGCUCUGAAGCUUUUGCCAAAGGACAAAUGGAAACAGGAAGUACAAUCAUGCACUGGGGUAAAGAAGAUUCAUCUGCUCUUAGCUACCUACCAUGCCAACACUCCUGAGAAAGCUCACAGAGGCCCAUGAUGCCCACCUGGAUCUGAGGACCUAGAAAGCCACAACAGGCAACCAUAAUCUGGGUCUUCCCUCAGCCAACUCCCCUGCAUAAAGUGAAUGAAUGAAAAACCCAUCUUAUAUUAAUCAGAGUUCUCUAGAGAAAAAGAACCAAUCAGAUGUGUAUAUAUAGAAAGAGAGAAUUAUUUUAGGGAAUUAGCUCACAUCAUUAUGCAGGCUGGUCAAUCAAAAAUCUGUGGAGUGGGCUAGCAGGCUGGAGACCCAGGGAAAGGCUAAAUUGCAGUUUAGAUCAGAAGGUCAUCUACUGGCAGAAUUCCCUCAUCUUCCAGGAAGGUGGAUCUUUUUCUACCAAGGCCUUCAGUUUAUUAGAUUAGGCCCAUGAACAUGCUGGAGGGUAAUCUGCUUUACUCAAUACAUACUGAUUUGAAUGUUAGUAUCAUCAAAAAGACCUUCACAGAAACAUCUAAAAUAAUGUUUGACCAAAUGUCUGCAUACCAUGGCCAAGCCAAGUUUACACAUAAAAUUAAUUAUCACACAUCCCACGAACACCAUCCCCAACAGAUGCUCAUGAGCAUUGUGGUUAUGAUUUCAACUUCAGAAUAAGGCAGAAAUGUGUACAAAUCCUGACCCUUUGACUUAUCAGCUCUCUAAAAAUCAUUAUAUGUCAACUUUCUAGACUUUACCUGAAAAACAGAAACCAAGAUACCCACAGCAUAAGAUUGUUAGGAUUGAAGAAAUUGUUACGAUUGUUAGGUAUGAAGAAAUUUAAACAAUGAUGCAGCUGAGAUAUUUAGAAUUGUACCUGGCAUGUACUUUGUAUUAAAUAACUAAUAAGGCCUUUUUCUGGUGAAAACAAAAUAAGCCUGGAUAAAAGAAGAUGAGACCAGAUUGGUUGAUGGCUCGGCCUGGGUGGGCUCCUGGCCCAUCUGAAAUUACAUUACUCUUAUGUAGUGCCUUUUUUGUUAUUGCUAAAAUAAAAUAAAUAAAACACUCUACUUUCAUACUUUGUAAAAUGCACUUCUCAUUCAGUUCCUCUUCCUGUGCCUUUUCCCUAUUGUCUAUCUGCACACAGCUGUUUUCUUCUGCACAUUUUCAUCACAGAGAAUUACCAGGUGUAGGUCAAAAGAUGCCACAGAGAUAACAAAGGAAAGGAAAAGCUUUUCUGCACUUCUAUCCUUGUAAGCACAAAAAUUAAUCACACUUUCAGUAAACAGGUCAGGUAAGUCAGUCCUGCACUUGAACCUUUUCUCCCCAAAUAAAUAGUUGAAAUGGGAAUGUCGAUUUCUGUAUUUGAACAGAAAUGUAUUAGUGUAGCUUUCAAAAGAAGACUACUCUCUCCAUAUGAAUAUCAUCAGACCCACAAAUACACAUAUGCAUACAUUCACAGUUCAUCCUAACGCUGCAGAAUAUUCUAAGAGUAACACAUUUCUGUACAAAUCAAGCAGCAGCUUUCACUUGCAUGCUAAUCUUCAAAUUAAUUCUGCAAUGAUCCAUUCAUUCCACAUCCCAACCUACAUCCUCAGAAAAACAAAGAUGUAAGUAAGGAACUCAGUAUAACAUGUUUGACUUUAGACACUACUCAAAUAUACUCAAACUUUAUAUGAAUAUGGAUAUUGCUCCUAGAUUAGGCAGUUCAGAAAACAAAUCUUGAUUAUUCUUAGUUACAAUGUAGUAUAAAAUAACAACAAUUUCAUGUCAACAACAGAAUCUCCUAAAAGAUCUUAUAAAGAUAAAAAGUCUUAGGUGUUAGUCGUCAAAGACUAAGUUGUAAAUGUAUCAUUGUAUUUGUGUAGUUAAUAAAACCCUAGACAAGAUAUGGGUUCCAGUUCUUGAACCACCACCACCUGUUCACCUUAAAUAAGUCAACUAAC